rnacentral:tRNA from 1 species
GAGAGAGGCUCGUCAACAACAAUAACUGCUAAUUAUUGCCACCCCAGUUAGACCCUGGGGCUCACUCG